rnacentral:rRNA from 1 species
UACGUAGGGGGCAAGCGUUGUCCGGAUUUAUUGGGCGUAAAGAGCGUGUAGGCGGUUUGGUAGGUCCGCUGUGAAAACUCGAGGCUCAACCUCGAGACGUCGGUUGAAACCGUAUGGCUAGAGUCCGGAAGAGGAGAGUGGAAUUCCCGGUGUAGCGGUGAAAUGCGCAGAUAUCAGGAGGAACACCAAUGGCGAAGGCAGCUCGCUGGGACGUGACUGACGCUGAGACGCGAAAGCGUGGGGAGCAAACAGG